UUUUCGGGAUAGAGCAAAGAUGACUCUACUUUACAAAAAAUAUAUAGGUGUCAUUAAGCUUAAUCAGAAACAUGCAUGCCCCAGGUGCUCAUGCAAAAUUCAACUGAUACCAAAAGUUUUGGCUUUCAGAAAAGACAUACUACUAUCAAUGGGUAAGAAUCCUGCUAAAAGGCUUGCAAAAAGAAGCAAGAAAAUGCCCUAAAAUUCCGACUUUUCUUUCUUCUCUUUUUGUAGCUUACCCAGAAAGAAAGGUUUAAGAGGAUCUCUAUCAUCUUCUAAAUAUACUCUGGCUGGAGUGCCAACUAUAUGGAUGUAGAUUUUGCUAGGUCAAAUGAAAUGCAAAUUGUAUUCUUUAUUUUUUCUUUUCCUUAUCUGUGAAAAUGAACUUGAUACUCCAUCUAGUCCUUAUCAAUUUAUACAACAGUUUUUUCGGUUGUUUUGAGCUCUGAAGUAGUUUGACACUAUCCUACUAAUAAUAUUAUUUCAUACAACCUCCGAAUGUUUCUGGAAUUCAAAUCUAGCCAACUUAUUAAUCAAAUUUGAGUUCAUAUAAUGUUUUAUUUUUC
rnacentral:lncRNA from 1 species